rnacentral:rRNA from 1 species
AUGAAGGCCCUCUGGGUUGUAAACUUCUUUUAUCUGGGACGAAAAAAGGGAAUUCUUUCCCACUUGACGGUACCAUAGGAAUAAGCACUGGCUAACUCCGUGC